UACGAGGGGGGCGAGCGUUGUUCGGAAUUAUUGGGCGUAAAGGGCGCGUAGGCGGUGCGGUAAGUCACCUGUGAAACCUCUGGGCUUAACUCAGAGCCUGCAGGCGAAACUGCCGUGCUGGAGUGUGGGAGAGGUGCGUGGAAUUCCCGGUGUAGAGGUGAAAUUCGUAGAUAUUGGGAAGAACACCGGUGGCGAAGGCGGCGACCUGGUCCUUGACUGACGCUGAGGCGCGAAAGCGUGGGGAGCAAACAGG
rnacentral:rRNA from 1 species